UUGCACCUCCAUAGAACCACAAAGUGAAAUAUAUUCUUUGAGUACUCGUUAUAGCAUUAAAUCUCAAUGCACAGCACAUUAAGGACAGAGAUCCUACAUGAGGAGUAAGUGCACAGUGACUCCUGUUGUUGACUUUACCAAUUGACACUCCUGUCUAUGGCAUCAGUAAUCUCCCUAUGCACCAGUCAUGAGUUUCCAAGGCUAUGGAAGCCCUCUGAGUUCUCCGAUUCUUAUCUUGUUUAGACAAGGUCAUAGUCAAAGUGGAGGUUCUCUCCUCCCUUCAGAGAAAGGUACCUCCUUCUUUGAAGACCUGUUCUUUCCACUGGGAUCUCACUCACAGAGAUCUUUUGCCAGAGUGUCUUGGCUUUCCAUGCCUGAAAUACUCUCAUGGGCUUUUCAGCCAGAUCCGAAUGCCUUUAGGGCUGAUUCUGAGGCCAGAGUGCUAUUUAGGACAUCUGCCAUUCUAUGAGUCUGCUGAGUAUCUCACUUCCCAUGUUGGAUCACUCUCCCCUUUAUUUAUUCUAUCGGUUAGUGUUAGCAGGUACUAGACUUGUUUAUGUGCUCCCUUUGACUCUUAGAUAUUCUUAAUAUGUGGAGAAGCAUGAUGAAUUCUGCAUGAUCUCAAUCCCACAAAUCGGAUCUUGUGUAUACACACAUAGGACCGGGAAGGACAUGUCAGAUUAUACUACUUGUGAUUUUGGGGGACUUUGUUCUUUGCUUCCUAUGUUUUUCUAUUUCCAAUAAUACACUUAUUAACUUUUUAAAAAUAAGUUAUUUUUAAAAUGCAAAUAAGAAAGAAAAAUAAAACAUAAGUCUAUUUUGGCUCACAAAAUGUCAAGAUCCAGCUAUGUUUUUUUUUUCCCGGUACACAUUUUUCUAGGGACUUUUUGAAGACCUUCGUAAGCAUGGAUAAAGCUUUGUGCAGCAAAAUAAAUUUGUCUUUUGAUUCCAUUUUGCAUGAACUUUUUGAAAUAUCCUCGUAGCAUCCUUCUAAAGUAACUGCUAAAAAUCUAACCAAACUUGGAAGUCUAAGGGAUGGGAAAGUGCAUUGUCCAGAGGAUGGUGGGAACCAAGAGAAGCCUUGCUUCCAUAGCAGGAAGCAAACAAUGGAGGUGGAGACUGAAAAAACAUGAUGCAGCAAUAAAUGAUACAAACAAGGCAAGGAGGGGAGGAAGAGAGUGGGAAAUGCUGUUAUUUUUUUCUUUUGUCAUGAACUUUGUGUAACAAGGUGAUUCUUUAAAUUUGGUGUAUGUUUUAUCUUUGAUCAACAUUUAAACUUAGAAGCAUCCUUUGCCACACAAUCCAGAUAUGAUUUUUCCAUCUAAUCUAAGUAUAUUUUGCUGUCUUUCACAAAACUGCAAGAAUUGAAUAGUUUCCUUCAAUAAUUUUUUUCCCUUUAUAUUAUGUUUUCACCCUUUUUACAACCCCAAACAGUUUCACUCUGGAUCCCAGCUUCUGUUUUCCUAAAUUCCCAGUCAUUUCAUCUUUGUUUCUUUCUUUUGGUGGUGUAUGUGUGCACAUGUGUAUAAGUGCAUAUGUGUGUUGGCAUGUAUAUGUGUGGGUAGUGUGCAUGCAUGUGUAUGUGUAUAUACCACACUAAAUACUUUUCGUUUUUCCCUUCCUCCUAACGAAACAGGGCCCCCACAGUUGAAUGCAUAGUCUUAAUCUCUAGCCAAUGCCUGGCAGGAGGAGGUACUCAAUUCAUGUGUAAAUGAAUGAGGCCCCUAACUGAGCACUCUCCACAACAGAAACCUGGAAGUUACGACAGUGGUCAGGGCUGAAAGAGCAGGGGAGAGGAAUGCCCCUGGCUAAGUCGAUCACUUCAGCCCUUGUGAAGGACUCUGGCUGUUUGGCUCAACAUCAAGCUGUGUGAGGCCAAACCCGAGGUUGCACCAGGCUGAUGGCCAAAAUGGGCAACGAAGUGGCCAAAGCUGAAGCCAAAGAAAGACCGUAUUCAACACAGGCCAGCAAUAAGCUCAGUGAAAAUACUGGGGAGGAAGAAGUAACAGUCACUAGAUGCUGAACCCACUGCUCCGCAGACAGACAAGGAGAGCAAGGAACCUCCAGAAUGAAUUCUGCAGAGAGCAGUGCAGUGUACCAAAGACAAAUCAAGGAUUCUCACUCCAGCAAGUCAGGCAAAUUCCUGUUAAUUUGGGCCCUUGAUGCCAGGAACUGGUGAGUUAGGAGAUUCAGAGUUUGAAAGGAACUAUUUCAUUUCACAGAGCCGCGAGAGACCUUAGAAAUCAUCCAAGCCCAGAAACUUUCAAAAACGCUUUGAUUAAUGUCCACCUGUACCACUAGCCUUCCAGCUGCAGGGCUGCAGACACCAAAUCAGGUAGGUGUCUGAUUUAGUUCUCUGUGCAUUCUCAGCUUGAAUGGGAGAACCUAGAAUACAAGAGGCACCCGGUUAAUACUGGAGAGUUUGUGGUGUUAGUGAAAUCCCUGAGAGCUCAUCCCUGCGCUCCUCAGGAGGAAUUUUGGCUGGAUAUUCUGAAGGGUGGGGAAAAUUGAUGUGUUUGUUUAUAUGUCUGCUUGUUUUAGUUAAUUUUUUAGUUUAUUUAUUUGAAAGGCAAAGAAACAGAGAGAAAGAGGGAGAGGCAGAGAGCAAGGGUUCACCCAUUCACUGGUUCACUCUCCAGAUGGCUACAGCAGCCAGGGCUGGACCAAGCAGGAGGCAAGAAUUCCAUCUAGGUCUCCUAUAUGGGUGGCAGGGGCCCAAGUACUUGAGCCAUCAUCUGCUGGCUUCCCCAUUGCAUUAACAGGGAGCUGGAUCAGAAGCAGGGAAGCCGGGACUCGACAAGCACUCCAGUAUGGGAUGCCAGCAUUGCAAGCAACAGCUUAACAUGCUGCUACACAACACCAGUCCAGGAUUUUUCUGUAAUGGACAAGAAGAAACAUUUCAGUUGUCCUAUCUUCUAUCACCACAGAAUCAGAUGUUGGGAAGAAGAUGUCACUUAUGAUGUCCACAGGCAGAUUCAGUUAAAAGAAGAAAUCAUGGGUGGGCAUUUAGCAUGGUGCCUGAAUUUGAGUCUUGACUCCUGACUCCAGCUUCCAAUGAAUAUGCAUCCUAGAAAGCAGCAGUGAUGGCUGAAGUCACUGGGCUCUUUGCACCCAUGUGCAAGCCCUGGAUUGAGUUCUAGCUCCCAGUUCCCAGCUCCAGCUUUCCCACCCCCACCCAAGAAGUUGUGGGCAUUUGUGGAGCAAAGCCAAAAGGAUUUUGCAGUGCGUUUUUCCUGCUACAAUAUCCUCCAUCCAUCUGCCUUUCCCUCCCCUGGCCUGUCGAGAGCUCAAAUACAAGAUCAACUCUCAAUGACUGCAUGCUCUUUGUUAAUGAAGAUGAUAGUUUUCUGGGCUCCUUGCUCCCUUCCUCACUCUGGUUGAAGUGGACAAUCUAAGAAGAAGCCUGAACACUGUUGAUACCCUUUCCCCUUAUCAUUUAAUUUAAGAUGCCAACUUCUCUAGAUUUCAAUGGAUUCUCUCCUACUUGUCUGGAGCCAAAUACAGAAAUCUCCCCAGAGACCAAAAUGUUCUAGAAUUUGUUCAUUUCUCCUUAUGAAGGUUCACUACUGAAAUUCAAUGAAGAAUAAUGGAAGAGAAUACAUGCAACACUCCACUGCCACUAAGAGUCAUCCUGCCUGCCUUGCAACCAUUUUCCUCAUUAGAGCUGUAUGUUUUUGGAGGCACCUAUAGCACAUGCCACAUAAAGUGAGGUGGAGAGCCACAUCCCAGGGCUCAUCAGGUGGGCUCCAUGGGCCUUAGGGAAGUCAUAAAUACCUUGACUCUGUAAUCAUAACUUUGGACUUCCAGGCACAAUUGGCUUAUUCUGGGCGCAUGAACUGUAAUUUUAAUUAGAUUCUCAGAAUGGGCCGUGUGUAGUUGAGGUCUCCAGAAGGCAGGCUGAGAGAGUUUGGACUGCAAAAGUAUAUUGGAGAGUUCUGAACAAAAAUUGGGUAAGGAGAGAUGUCGUACCAUGAUGCAGAUCUGAAACAGUAUCAUCUAGCCUCUCACAUGGAGCUCCAAAGCCAAAGGGUGCCUAUCUCUAGAGUUGAAGACUGGAAAAAAUGUUGCUCCCAUUCUACAGUUUAAAAAAAAAUGUUUCCACUCCUUAGUUCUCAGACCUAUGUGUUUUUCCUGUUAGGGAUAUCACAUCAUAUAAAAGUCUGUAAUUUAGUGCAGGUGUUUCAUCUUGGGGAAUCGUGUCCAACUUCACAGUGUACUGCAUCUGAGCUUUAGUGGCAACUUUAGCAGGCCAUCCAACAUUCUUUCAGACUGACAGCUUCUGAAUGCUAAGGUGGAUCUGAUGCACAGAACUACUUAUUUCCAGUGGUGUAAAGUGGUUCUCCUGCUCUGAUACAGUGAUAUAUGGGAUCCCUGGAUGGUGAAUCCACCACUCCAUCAGGAUAUUCCAUUCCUAUCUAGGAUGUUAGAAGGCCAGGAAAGUGUGUUGCCAUGGGGGCAAGCAUUUGGUCUAAUGGUUAGCACACUUGCAUCCCAUAUCAGAGUUACCUGGGCUUGAAUCCCAGAACUUACAACUAAUGCAGACUCUGGAAUGCAGCAGGUGAUGGCUCAAAGUAGUUGAGUUGCUGCCAUCCACAUAGGAGACCUGAAUGGAGUUCCCAGAUCCCAUCUUUUGCCUGACCCACCCACUGCUGUAGCAGGCAUUUUGGGAGUGAAUUGGUAGAUCAGGACUAGUUGAGUUGCUGCCAUCCACAUAGGAGACCUGAAUGGAGUUCCCAGAUCCCAUCUUUUGCCUGACCCACCCACUGCUGUAGCAGGCAUUUUGGGAGUGAAUUGGUAGAUCAGGACUUUCUCUCUCUCUACCUCUCAAAGUUUAAAAAAAAAAAAGUCUUCUACAAAAAAUCUUCUCUGUAAAUAUAAGAAAAAGCUAAACAAACUUUAAAACCAUGAUGAGAUUACAGGGCAAAGAAAUAAUCUACAAUCCAAGGAAACACAGUGUCUCCAUGGGGAGAUGGAUCCAAGGUAUGGCUCAAUUGUGGCAGAACACUGGAGGAAGAGAUGCCAGGUACUACACAAGAAAGUGGGAAGAUUUUUAAUUUUAUCAAGUAGUUGAACUACUUAGUAGGCUAUCUGGGAAUACAGAACUGUAGGAGAGGUAGACCCCAAAGACCCACACAGCACUGAGUUGCAUUACAGAAGAAUCCCAGCUUAGGAUGGCCAUUGCUCUAGAGGGAGAUGCUAUGUUUAUUAUACAGGAAAAUAAGCAAAUCUUGCCUUUGCUUCAGAAGAUAAUUCAGCACUGUCAGGGCCACUUCUCACAAGACAGAGGAAUGUGAGAAACCCAUAGACAACGGCUUCCCAAUACAACCCAGCUGUUCCAUUUUUAGGACUAAUUCUAUAGAUAUAAUUGUAUAUGUGAAAAGGGAUAUUCACUAAAUCACUUUUUUAAAGCAAAAUAUCAUGAACAUCAUAAAUGACAAAAAUAGAGAACUGAGUAAACAAAUUAUGGUACAUAAACAAUGGAAUAGAAUACUACGCAGUAUCAAAUUGGAGAAAAAAAUCAGUUCUACUUGUGCCCAUAUGAACAGUCUCUAUAUUAAGUUUAAGGGGAAAAGCAAGGGGGCUGGCACUGUGGCACAGUGAGUUGAGCCACCGCCUGCAAUGCUGCCAUGCCAUAUGAACAUCUAUUAGAGUCCCACAAUCCAACUCUUAGCUAACACACCCAGGAAAGCAGCAGAAGAGAGCCCAAGUGCUUGGACCCAUGGCACACACAUGGGAGACUCAGAGUUUCAGGCUCCUGGCUUUGGCCUGGCCCAGCCCAGGCCAUUGCUGCCACUUGGGGAAUGAACCAGCAAAUGGAAGAUCUCUCUCUCUCUCUCUCUCUCUCUCUCUCUCAAACCCUGCCUUUCAAAUAAAUAAAUCUUUAAAAGAAAAAGCAAGGUCAGGACUGUGGCAUAGCAGGUUAAAACCCCAACCAGCAGCGUCAGCAUGCCAUGUGGGCGCCGGCUCCAGUCCUGGUACUCCACUUCCAAUCCAGCUCCCUGCUAAUGCACCUGGGAAAGCAGCGGAGGAUGGCCCAAAUCCUUGGGCCCCCUCACCCAUGAGGGAGACCCAGAAGCUCCUGGCUCCUGGUUUCAGAUCAGCUCAGCUCAGCUCCAGCCAUUGGUCAUUUGGGGAGUGAAACAGCAAAUGGAACACCUCUCUCUCUCUCUCUGUCCCUUCCUCUCUCUGUAACUCUGCCUUUCAAAUAAAUAAAAUAAAUCUUUUAAAAAAAGAAGAAAAGCCGUAGGACAGGAUGCAUAGUAAAUAAUGUUUAUAUACAAAAAAGAAUUUUAUAGACAUAGUUUAUAUAUGCAUAAAAUACUUCUAAAAAAAGACAUUUAAAACUAUUAAUAGGUGCUGGUGUUAUGAAACAACUGGUGACACCAGCUUCCCCUAUCAGAAGGCCAGGUCGAGUCCCAGCAGCUCCACUUCUGAUCCAGCUCCCUGCUAAUGCACCUAGGAAGGCUGUGGAGGGUGGCCCAGGUGCUUGGGCCCCUGCCACUCACAUGGGAAACCCAGAUGGAGUUCCUGGCCUCUGGAUUCAGCCUGACCCAGAUCUAGUUGUUGCAGCCAUUUGGAGAGCGAACCAGUAGAUGGAAGAUCUCUCUCUUUCUCUCUCUGUUUCUCCCUCUUUCUCUCUGUUACUCUGCCUUUCAAAUAAAUAAAUGUCUUAAGAAUAAAAAAUAACAAUAGUUGUCCCUGGGGAAAGAAAUAGAGAUGCUGGUUUGGGAGAGGCUUGUUUUACAGUACAAACAUACUCAGACAUUUAAAAAUUUUAAACAUAUACCUAUGUUAACUAUUCAAAAAUGAUUAAUGUACUUCCAAGAAAUACUAAAAUUUCAAGUCUUCUGAUAACUUUUUGUUGCUAUGGAUGAGAUGUUAGAAUUAAUGGACCUUUGUUAGGACAACACCUUGAUAAGUUGUUCUGAUGAUGAAGGUAAAACCCAUUGAUCGUUGUCCAGGAGCAACAAUGGCAAAGCAACUUGGUUUUUUGCUUUCCAAGGGGGGAUUUCAAAUUUUCAGAGAAAACAGGAAAGGAAGGGUUCAUAGAGCUCUUAAACUGAGAAGAAAAAAAAACAAAAAAACAAAAACAAAAAAAAAAAACAAGAGCUCAUGAUCACACAGUCUGGCCAUAAUGAUAUCUAGAGAGAAAGAUUGCCAGUUAACGAUACCUGGGUAUAUCACCUAAUAUUCAGCUUUUGUUUUGUUUUCAUGAUAUAAAUGGCCUUAAUUGGUUGCAACACGAAAUGUGAGAAAGGAGGGGAAUAUGAUCACUUUGAAUUCUGUCACCACCCUCCAAAAAUAAUACCCAAUUUUAAGCUAUUUCCUUUUCUGUGUUCUACUAUAAUCCACUCUAUCAUGCCUAGACUGUAAGCAAAAGUCCAUGAUAUAUAGAAAGAUUUUUCUUGAUAGUUCUUUGUGGACUGUAUGAGAAAGGAUUGUUAUGGAUGCUCUUCUUAGCAGAUAAAAUUUAACAAAUACACCAUCGCCAAUAAUAGGACAACCUACUAUGAGAUCCCUCAUACAAUACAACAAGAAAACCACAGUGUCACCUGUUCUUGCCAAAACUGUUUAACCUACAUCUAAUCAGUUAAUAAAAAAUACUUGGGGCUGGCGCUGUGGUGUAGCAGGUAUAUCUGCCCCCUGCAGUACCGGCACUCCAUAUGGGUGCUGGCUCAAAUCCCGGCUGCUCCACUUCUUAUCCAUUUCUCUGCUAUGGCCUGGGAAAGCAGUAAAAGAUGGCCCAAGUCCUUGGGCCCCUGCAGCUACGUGGAAGAUCUGGUAGAAGCUCCUGGCUCCUGAAUUCAGCCUGACUCAGCCCUGGCCAUCAAUGCUAUUUGGGGACUGAACCAACUGAUGGAAGACCUCUCUCUCUCUCUCUCUCUGCCUCUGCCCCUCUGUAAAUCUGCCUUUCAAAUAAAUAAAGAAAUCUUAAAAAAAGAAAGAAAGAAAAUGCUAGGGAUUGAGAAAGCAGUUAAAUGAUACCUCCAAGAAUAUAGACAGAUCUAGAAUGUGGGACAUUCUGUAAGACCACUGGGGUAGCAUCUUCAAAAGUGACUGCCAUAGGAUAAAACUGUGGGGAGACUAUUGUGGUAUAAAAGAGAUUAGAGAAACAGCAGUGUGCUAUGAUUUUUAAGACAAUUUUUAAGAUUUAUUUGUUAAUUUGAAAGGCAAAGUUAUAGAAAGAGAAGGAAGAGAGAGAGAGAAUCUUGCAUCUGCUGGUUCACUCCUCAAAUGACUGCAACUGCUAGGCUGGCCCACACCAAAGCCAGCAGCCUGGAACUCCAUCCAGGUCUCUCACACAGGUGGCUGGGGCCCAGGUAUUCAAGCCAUCCUCUGCUUCUUUCCCAGGUGCAUUAGCAGGGAACUGAAUCAGAAGUGAAGCAGCCAGAACUCAAACCAGCCCUCAUGUGGGAUGCCAGCAUCCCAGGCAGAUGCUGAACCCACUGUGCCACAACACCAGCCCCAGUGUGUGCUAUGAUUUUCAUGUGAUUUAUUACACCCACCACCCAGAGAUUCAUGUUUUGGAGGCUUGGUCCUCCAGGUGGUCACAAUGUGGGGUCUUUAAGAGGAGAGGCUCUGCGGGAAGUGGCUAUGUCAUGGGGACACUGUCCUCAAAAGAGAUUGAUACUGGUCUCACCAAAUCAGGCUGUUCUCUCAAGAGUUUUCAUAAUUUAUUUUCUUUCUUUCUUUUCUUUUUUUUUUUUUUUU